rnacentral:lncRNA from 1 species
GGGAGAUAUACCUAAUGCUAGAUGACGAUUUAGUGGGUGCAGCGCACCAGCAUGGCACAUGUAUACAUUUGUAACUAACCUGCACAAUGUGCACAUGUACCCUAAAACUUAAAGUAUAAUAAAAAAAAUACGAAAACUACCUAAAACAAUCUACAUAUUUAGCAUUACUCCUAUCAAGCUACCAAUUUCAUUCUUCACAGAAUUAGGGAAAAAAACCUAUUCUGAAAUUCAUAUGGAACCAAAAGAGAGCUCGAGUAGCCAAAGCAGUCUUAAGGAAAAAGAACAAAGCUAGAGACGUCACAUUACCCAACUUCAAACUAUACUAUCAGGCUACAGUACCAAAAUCAACAUGGUACUGGUAUAAAAACAGACACAUAGACCAAUGGAACAAAAUAGAGAACUUAGACAUAAAGCUGCAUACCUAUGACCAUCUGAUCUUUGACAAAGUUGACAAAAAUAAACAAUGGGGAAAGGACUCCCAAUUCAAUAAAUGGUGGUGGGAUAACUGGCUAGCCAUAUGCAUAAGAAUGAAACUGGACCCCUACUUUCAUCAUAUACAGUAAUUAACUCAAAAUAGAUUAAAGACUUAAAUGUAAAACCUAAAACUAUAAAAACCCUGAAAGACAACCUAGGCAAUCAAUACCCUUCUCUACAUCAGCCUUGGCAAAUAAUUUAUGGCCAAGUCCUCAAAAGCAAUUGCAACAAAAACCAAAAAUUGACAAGUGGGACCUAAUGAAACUAAAGAGCUUCUGCAUAUCAAAAUAAAUUAUCAACAGAGUAAACAAUCUAUAAACUGGAAGAAAAUAUUCAUAAACCAUGCAUCUGACAAAGAUCUAAUAUCCAGAAUCUAUGAGAAACUUAAAUAAACAAGUAAAAAACAAACAACCCCAUUAAUAAACUGGCAAAGGACAUGAACAGAUACUUCUCAAAAGAGGACAUACAAGCCACCAACAAACAUGAAAAAAAUGCUCAAUAUCUCUAAUCAUCAGAUAAAUUCAAAUCAAUAUGGCAAUGAAAUACCAUCUGACAAAAAGUCAAAAAACAACAAAUGAUGGCAAAGCCAUGGAGAGAAGAGAUAUAAAUUAGUUGAUGGGAAUGUAAAUUAGUUCAGCCACUGUGGAAAGCAGUUUGGAAAUUUCUCAAAGAAUUUAAUACAGAACUACCAUUAGACCCAGCAAUCCCAUUAUUGGGUAUAUAUCCAAAAGAAAACAAGUCAUUCUACCAAAAAGCCACAUUCACUCACAUGUUCAUCACAGCACUAUUCACAAUAGCAAAGAAAUGGAAUCAACCUAGGAACUCAUCAAUGGUGGAUUGGAUGAAGAAAAUACACCAUGGGCUACUACGCAGCCAAGACAAAGAAUGAAAUAAAAUUCUUUGAAACAACAUGGAUUCAGCUGCAGGCUAUUAUGCUAAGCAAUUUAAUGCAGGAGCAGAAAAACAAAUGCCCCAUGUUUUCACUCAUAAGUGGAAGCUAAACAUUAAGCACACAUGGAUAUAAAGAUGGAAGCAGUGGAUACUGGGGAUGCUAGAGGAACCAGGGAGGGAGGGGGUGUGGGCUGAGUGACUACCUAUUGGGUUCUGUGCUCACUGCCUGGAUGACAGGAUCAUAUGUACUCUAAACUUCAGUGUCAUGUAAUGUUCCCAUGUGACAGACCUAGGCAUGUACCCCCGACUCAGAUAAAAGUUGAAAUUUAAAAAAAAUCAAUAAAUCUAUCUGGAAUAUUUCUAAAGGAUGGACUUACUUGAAGUCUUAGGUACUGGGAAAACUCAGUUCUUCCCAGUGGUAACUGAAUAUCUUUCA